rnacentral:rRNA from 1 species
GUGACCCCGGUCUAACCACCGGGAUGUUCAUAACCCUUUGUUGUCCGACUCUGUUGCCUCCGGGGCGACCCUGCCUUCGGGCGGGGGCUCCGGGUGGACACUUCAAACUCUUGCGUAACUUUGCAGUCUGAGUAAACUUAAUUAAUAAAUUAAAACUUUUAACAACGGAUCUCUUGGUUCUGGCAUCGAUGAAGAACGCAGCGAAAUGCGAUAAGUAAUGUGAAUUGCAGAAUUCAGUGAAUCAUCGAAUCUUUGAACGCACAUUGCGCCCCCUGGUAUUCCGGGGGGCAUGCCUGUUCGAGCGUCAUUUCACCACUCAAGCCUCGCUUGGUAUUGGGCAACGCGGUCCGCCGCGUGCCUCAAAUCGACCGGCUGGGUCUUCUGUCCCCUAAGCGUUGUGGAAACUAUUCGCUAAAGGGUGUUCGGGAGGCUACGCCGUAAAACAACCCCAUUUCUAAGGUUGACCUCGGAUCAGGUAGGGAUACCCGCUGAACUUAAGCAUAUCAAUAAGCGGAGGAAAAGAAACCAACAGGGAUUGCUCUAGUAACGGCGAGUGAAGCAGCAAUAGCUCAAAUUUGAAAUCUGGCGUCUUCGACGUCCGAGUUGUAAUUUGUAGAGGAUGCUUCUGAGUAACCACCGACCUAAGUUCCUUGGAACAGGACGUCAUAGAGGGUGAGAAUCCCGUAUGCGGUCGGAAAGGUGCUCUACACGUAGCUCCUUCGACGAGUCGAGUUGUUUGGGAAUGCAGCUCUAAAUGGGAGGUAAAUUUCUUCUAAAGCUAAAUAUUGGCCAGAGACCGAUAGCGCACAAGUAGAGUGAUCGAAAGAUGAAAAGCACUUUGGAAAGAGAGUUAAAAAGCACGUGAAAUUGUUAAAAGGGAAGGGAUUGCAACCAGACUUGCUCGCGGUGUUCCGCCGGUCUUCUGACCGGUCUACUCGCCGCGUUGCAGGCCAGCAUCGUCUGGUGCCGCUGGAUAAGACUUGAGGAAUGUAGCUCCCUCGGGAGUGUUAUAGCCUCUUGUGAUGCAGCGAGCGCC